rnacentral:rRNA from 1 species
CAAUAGCGUAUAUUAAAGUUGUUGCGGUUAAAAAGCUCGUAGUUGGAUUUCUGUUGGGAACGACCGGUCCGCCCAUUGGGUGUGUAUCUGGCUUGUUCUCGGCAUCUUCUUGGUGAACGUUGCUGCACUUGACUGUGUGGAGCGCUACCCAGGACUUUUACUUUGAGGAAAUUAGAGUGUUUCAAGCAGGCAUAUGCCUUGAAUACAUUAGCAUGGAAUAAUAAGAUAGGACCUCGGUUCUAUUUUGUUGGUUUCUAGAGCUGAGGUAAUGAUUAAUAGGGAUAGUUGGGGGCAUUCGUAUUUAACUGUCAGAGGUGAAAUUCUUGGAUUUGUUAAAGACGAACUACUGCGAAAGCAUUUGCCAAGGAUGUUUUCAUUG